GGGUUCAGGGGCAUGAAGUUUAUGUCCCUGGAGGAUAAGCAAAUUAGAUGGUCGGGCCGCCAUCG
rnacentral:ncRNA from 2 species